AAGAGAUUGUUACGCACCACCAUUCUCAUCAACGAUGGAAUCUGACCCAGCUGCCACAAUGUAAACACAAGCUAAAAAUGACGAAGAAGCCCUUCCUUCCGUCUUACCAAUACUGGCGAAAAUACAGAAAGAAAAGAAAACAUUGCCGCCCGGCGGUGGAGGCUCCAGCCAGGGGCAAUGACCACAUCUUAGUGACACGACCUCUUCUUCUUAUGAUUGAUUGCUGCCUGCUGGCUGGCGGCGGAGCGCAUUGUUGACCCGCCAGCUUUAUAAGGACUGCAGGCAAGGGAGGCUGGCUGGGUCGGCUGGAUCAAGCAUGGAGAGAGUACUUCCUUUCCCCUCACACCUCUCCUCCCCUCCCCCCCCCCCAAGGGUCCGAUUGUCAUUCCUAGUCUUAAUCUUGUUGGGAAGUAAAGGAAAUCUUGGGCCAUCUCUUGGAAACUUGCACAUGGGAUUCCGUGGGUGUUAACUGUGGCAGCAGGACUGCGAUAAACAUGGAAGAAGACUCUGCAACUUAUGAUGCUUUGUUUCGGCAGCAAAAAGGCUCCAUUGUUUGGCUCUCAACAUAAAAACGGAGUUUCCAUAACAAACCUGAGACAGUGAAAUAGUAUCAUAAUUAGAUUUAUAACUGACAAGAGCAGGAAGGUCACACAUUGUGCGAUUACUUGGGUUGAGAGGAAUGAAGAUUGCACUGUGACCAGCCCAAUUGUUGUGUCACCUACUUUGAGUCAGUGGCGAGUGCCUACUUUCAGUAUCACGUGGGGUGAGUUGUAUUCUUGAGAAUUGGACCGUCGAGACAAAGAAAUGUAUAAUCCUGAAUAAGUUGCUAAAAUUAUUUACUCAAGCAUUUAGAAGUAAUGACUUUUCUUCUCUCUGAAUACUAUUCUCUGUAUAAUUUUUGUUACUGUUAACAGGUUACUAUAACUGCCA